rnacentral:rRNA from 1 species
CCUACGGUGUGCAGCAGUGGGGAAUAUUGGACAAUGGGGGGAACCCUGAUCCAGCGACGCCGCGUGAGUGAUGAAGUAUUUCGGUAUGUAAAGCUCUAUCAGCUGGGAAGAAAGAAAUGACGGUACCUGACUAAGAAGCACCGGCGAACUACGUGCCAGCAGCCGCGUUAAUACGUAGGGGGCAAGCGUUAUCCGGAUGUACUGGGGGUAAAGGGAGCGUAGACGGCGAUGCAAGUCUGAAGUGAAAGGCGGGGGCCCAACCCCCUGACUGCUUUGGAAACUGUAUGGCUGGAGGGCAGGAGAGGUAAGUGGAAUUCCUAUUGUAGCGGUGCAAUGCGUAGAUAUUAGGAGGACCACCAGUGGCGAAGGCGGCUUACUGGACUCUAACUGACGUUGAGGCUCGAAAGCGUGGGGAGCAAACAGGAUUAGAUACCCUUGUAGUC